rnacentral:rRNA from 1 species
AGCUUCAGCGAUGGAUCGGUCGAUUCGCGUAUCGAUGAAAAACGCAGCUAGCUGCGUUAUUUACCACGAAUUGCAGACGCUUAGAGUGGUGAAAUUUUGAACGCAUAGCGCCGUUGGGUUUUCCCUUCGGCACGUCUGGUUCAGGGUUGUUAUGAAAUUACUACAGUGGGGCUUGUUGUACACUGUUUGUCGGGUGGCACUCAUCGUUCGUGGUGAUUCCCAUUCUAGUACAGAAUUUCAUAGAGCAAAAUAAUAUCAUACUGCAUGUUACAUGUGUGUAUGAUAUUGCUGAAUGAAAUCGAUGAACAUUAUAGACGUUUAUCACACUAUUAUGAUAAGUACUUGUGAAUGAGAAGGAACAUCAUAAUGGUACCGCUUGUUUGUGAUAAAUAUCUAUUCAUAUGUUCGUUGUGUAUUUCAUUUGAAUAUUGCAACCUGAACUCAGGCGUGAUUACCCGCUGAACUUAAGCAUAUCAUUUAGCGGAGGAAAAGAAACUAACAAGGAUUCCCCUAGUAACGGCGAGUGAACGGGGAGAAGCCCAGCGCUGAAUCUUUCGGUGUUACACCGUUAAGAAAUGUAGCGUAUAGGUGUGGUUUUCAGUUUGUGCUACUUAUCCAAAGUCCCUUUGAUAGGGCCACAUUCCCGAGAGGGUGCGAGACCUGUGCGGAUAGUGGAGCAAGCUGUACGAUCAUACCUUGGAGUCGGGUUGCUUGAAAGUGCAGCCUAAAGUGGGUGAUAAACUUCAUCUAAGGCUAAAUAUAGACGCGAAUUCGAUAGCAAACAAGUACUGUGAAGGAAAGUUGCAAAGAACUUUGAAGAGAGAGUUCAAGAGAACGUGAAAUCGCUGGAGUGGAAACGGAGAGAGUUGACGUAGUCCGGUGACUAAGUUUGCCGAAAUCGCUUAAUUGUGAUUAAGGUGAAUGUAUGUUGCCUAUGGCUGCGCUGACAGCACUGGUUGUACGUUCCGAACCGUUUUCGUUGCCCAAUUUUCGAAUUGGUGUCUUGUUUACGGGUAGGUUUGUUAUGACUAGUGUUUUAUCCUGUUUUAUGCAGGGUGUCAGUGUGAAGGUCGACCACCUCUCCGACCCGUCUUGAAACACGGACCGAGGAGUGUAACUUGUACGCGAGUCAAAGGGUGGAAAACCCCAAGGCGCAAUGAAAGUAAAGGUCGGUUAACCGACUGACAUGGGAUCCGUUUCGUUUUGAAGCGGCGCACCAUGGCCCUGUCUUGUCUGCUUGCAGAUGGGCAGCGGUAGAGCGUACAGGUUGCGACCCGAAAGAUGGUGAACUAUGCCUGAGCAGGACGAAGUCAGAGGAAACUCUGGUGGAAGUCCGUAUCGGUUCUGACGUGCAAAUCGAUCGAUAGACUUGGGUAUAGGGGCGAAAGACUAAUCGAACCAUCUAGUAGCUGGUUCCUCCGAAGUUUCCCCAGGAUAGCUGGAGUUCAUUGCGGUUAUAUCCGGUAAAGCGAAUGAUUAGAGGACUUGGGGUCGAAACGACCUCAACCUAUUCUCAAACUUUCAAUGGGUAUGUUGUCUCGGUUUCUUUGUUGAACUGUUGACACGAACGCGAACCAAGUGGGCCAUUUUUGGUAAGCAGAACUGGCGCUGUGGGAUGAACCAAACGUUGGGUUAAGGUGCCUAACUUUUCGCUCAUGAGACCCCAUAAAAGGCGUUGGUUGAUAUAGACAGCAGGACGGUGGCCAUGGAAGUCGGUACCCGCUAAGGAGUGUGUAACAACUCACCUGCCGAAUCAACUAGCCCUGAAAAUGGAUGGCGCUUGAGCGAGAGACCUAUACCCAACCGUUGCUGGCUUGUGCGUGCCUGUCGCCUGGCUGCAACGAGUAGGAGGGUCGUGGCGGUUGCGUCGAAGGUUUUGGGCGUAGGCCCAACUGGAGCUUCCGUCAGUGCAGAUCUCGGUGGUAGUAGCAAAUAUUUAAGUUCGAUCCUUGAAGACUGAAGUGGAGAAGGGUUCCACGUGAACAGUAGUUGAAUGUGGGUCAGUCGAUCCUAAGAUACUGGCUUAUGCCUUGUAUCAUCGAGAGGAAAAGUCUCUUUCUCUCGGAUAUCAAAAGGGAAUAGGGUUAAUAUUCCCUAACGCAGACACAGAGAUUGUGGCUCUUACGAGUCACUUGCGCGGUAACGCAUUCGAACUUGGUUACGUCGCUCAGAGACCGAGCUAGAGUUCUCUUCUCUAGUUAAGGAACGGACUCCUGGAAUCGGUUCAGCCGUAGAUAGGGACGUUGUUUCCGUAAAGCAUCGCGGUUUCUGUGAUGUCUCGUGUUCUCUGGACGGCCCUUGAAAACCAAGGAGGCUAUUAAUCUGUGCUGCAUCGUACCGAUAUCCGCAUCAGGUCUCCAAGGUGAACAGCCUCUAGUCGAUAGAAUAAUGUAGGUAAGGGAAGUCGGCAAAUUAGAUCCGUAACUUCGGGAAAAGGAUUGGCUCCAGUGACCGGGUCGGUUGGCUUGUUAACUGAUGCUUGUGCGGUUUCGUCCGUGGCUGGCUGAUACUAACGUUGAUGCUGGACUAGUGACAUGACUGCCUUGUGGACGUUUUCAGGUGUGUGCUUUGUCUUCGGACUUAGUAUCCUGAUCGACCAUCAAAACGGUCGAACUGGAACUGGUACGGACUCGGGAAUCCGACUGUCUAAUUAAAACAGAGGAGACAGAUGGUCCUUGCGGACGUUUACUGUCUCUGAUUUCUGCCCAGUGCUCUGAAUGUUAAAUCGUAGUAAUUCGAGUAAGCGCGGGUAAACGGCGGAGUAACUAUGACUCUCUUAAGGUAGCCAAAUGCCUCGUCAGCUAACUACUGACGCGCAUGAAUGGAUUAACGAGAUUCCCACUGUCCCUAACUACUAUCUAGCGAAACCACAGCCAAGGGAACGGGCUUGGCAAAAAUAGCGGGAAAGAAGACCCUGUUGAGCUUGACUC